rnacentral:rRNA from 1 species
UUGAACGCUAGCGGGAUGCUUUACACAUGCAAGUCGAACGGCAGCGCGGACUUCGGUCUGGCGGCGAGUGGCGAACGGGUGGGUAAUGUAUCGGAACGUGCCCAGUAGCGGGGGAUAACUACGCGAAAGCGUAGCUAAUACCGCAUACGCCCUACGGGGGAAAGCAGGGGAUCGUAAGACCUUGCACUAUUGGAGCGGCCGAUAUCGGAUUAGCUAGUUGGUGAGGUAACGGCUCACCAAGGCGACGAUCCGUAGCUGGUUUGAGAGGACGACCAGCCACACUGGGACUGAGACACGGCCCAGACUCCUACGGGAGGCAGCAGUGGGGAAUUUUGGACAAUGGGGGCAACCCUGAUCCAGCCAUCCCGCGUGUGCGAUGAAGGCCUUCGGGUUGUAAAGCACUUUUGGCAGGAAAGAAACGUCGCGGGCUAAUACCCCGUGGAACUGACGGUACCUGCAGAAUAAGCACCGGCUAACUACGUG